rnacentral:rRNA from 1 species
GUGUCAGCAGCCGCGGUAAUACGUAGGUGGCAAGCGUUGUCCGGAAUUACUGGGCGUAAAGGGUGCGCAGGCGGACAUUUAAGUGAGAUGUGAAAGACCCGGGCUUAACUUGGGCAGUGCAUUUCAAACUGGAUGUCUGGAGUGCAGGAGAGGAGAACGGAAUUCCUAGUGUAGCGGGGAAAUGCGUAGAGAUUAGGAAGAACACCAGUGGCGAAGGGGGUUCUCUGGACUUGAACUGACGCUGAGG